rnacentral:rRNA from 1 species
GAUGAACGCUGGCGGCGUGCCUAAUACAUGCAAGUCGAGCGGCAGCACGGUCUUCGGACUGGUGGCGAGCGGCGGACGGCUGAGUAACGCGUAGGAAUAUACCCCAAAGUGAGGGAUAACUGCCCGAAAGGGUGGCUAAUACCGCAUGUGGUCUUCGGACUAAAGCCUUCGGGCGCUUUGGGAAUAGCCUGCGUAAGAUUAGCUAGUUGGUGAGGUAAUGGCUCACCAAGGCGACGAUCUUUAGCUGGUCUGAGAGGAUGACCAGCCAGACUGGAACUGAGACACGGUCCAGACUCCUACGGAGGCAGCAGUAGGGAAUUUUCCACAAUGGGCGAAAGCCUGAUGGAGCAACGCCGCGUGCAGGAUGAAGGCCCUCGGGUCGUAAACUGCUUUAUGUGCGAAGAAUAUGACGGUAACACAUGAAUAAGGGUCGGCUAACUACGUGCCAGCAGCCGCGGUAAU